ensembl:lncRNA
CUUGCCCAGUGUCCCACACUUAAUUAUCUGCUUUACUUCCAAGUUCUAGGCACAUUCUACUUUUAUCAGUGUUUAUUUCUCAAAUGCAGUCCAACUAGAAUAAAGCCAUCCCUCUCUCCUCCCUUAUUCAGGCCUCUAUACUUCUUUUAAUAUGGUCUUGAGUGUCUUAGCUUUCAGAGAACUCUCCCUGUACCCAAGGCUUGUAUCUCCUCAUUUGGUUCAAUGCAGCAGUUUAUUUAUUCAUUCAUUUUCUGAAACUGGAGCUAGCUGGCUGGCAGAAUUUAAUCAGAAGAUUGUGUAGCUAUGGCAAGAGGCUGCCCAAAUCCAUAACUAUAAUGAGAGAAUGGGUGACAGGAGAAUUGGAUUAAAAGGCAGCUCGCUUUGCAAAGGGGGAAACACCAACUCCCCCUCCCUUCCACUUCUUACUGCCCACCUGUGAGAAGAAGAACCGAAACCAAAGGGGAAAAUAUGGAGGGAGAUCAGCCCUGAGUGACCCCAGGGAAUUUCUAAAGUAAAGGGGUUAUUAGACACGUGGAGUAUGUCUUGUUUGAGGGGUGGAGUCUCUGAGAGAAGAGAGGUGGGUAUCACAGUCAUAUGACAGAGAAGUGGAAUCAAGAACUGGUCAAGUCUAAGACUCUCUGAGAAGAACCCCAGCGCCUCUCUGCGUAUCCCCACCUGCUCUGGUGCCUGAAAUUUGUCCGCUUGGCAUCCAUCGCUCUGGCUUCACAACUACAGCAAUAUGCAUGCAACACUUAGGAACACGGAGUGGUUUCCACAUCUGUCUUCUUAUUUGAAUCUCACAGAAAUUCUGUGAGGGAUACACGGCAAGGAGAGAUGGUCUAGAGCAGGCAAUGUGAGCAAAAGGCUGGGGCCAAGAGGACCAGCUUGUUAUGGAGACUUGCCCUUGCCAAGUUUCGGUUUUCUCAUCUGUAAGUCAGAUAUAACAGUUCAUAUAGCUUGGGGCUUUGAUGAGGAUUAAAUAACAUAAUAUAAGUAAUAGUGCCUGGCAGAUGUUAAGUAACAUAUUUGCUAUUAUUAUUGUCCCCAUUUGAUGGAUGAGAAAACUGAGAAUUGGUUUCCGAAAGUGACUUGCCAGAGGCUGCCAGAGCUGGAUGGGAGCCCAGGUCUCCUGAUUUCCAGCCCUCUCUGCCUGCUCCAGCCCAUUGAACAGCGUCAACUCGUCUCCCUUCACAGUAAUGACAGUGCCAUCGGUGGGAGUGUGAGGAUGCUCUCGGAUUAGAAAGGGAAAGUCUCUUUGUUGUUUUUUGUAAAUGGGGAUUUACUUCAGGGUUAUUUGAAUGCUGCUAUGGUUUGUAGGACUUGCAGAUUCUAAGUAUCUUUUAAUUGGAGAGCAUUGCUUGAGGCUCCACGGCAAAGGUAUUUGGGUUUCUUUGUUUUAAACAAGAUGAAUAAACAAAGAGGAACUGGGUGCUGAGGGCCUUCAAGCACCGACGUUCUGUGAGUCUUGUUGGUCAUCUAUCACUUCUCACCACAAACCAGAUGAAAGAAACGCAGCUUGAACUGGUCAAAGCAGAAAGAAAAAUUACUGGCCAACGUAAUGAGAAAACAAGAGUGGAGCUGAGCUUCAGGCAUGGCGAGAGGUAUUGUGUAGAUGAAUGAGAUGAUUUGGGAGCUCUCUGGCUUCAGACACAUGUGAAAACUGGGGCUGAGUUCAAACGUCACUUUCUCAAGACAGCUGUCCCUCAACCAACACCAUCGGACCUCUUGCUCGAGGCUCUCAUGAGAUCCUGCACUUUUCCUUUAUAGCUUUAAUUAUAAUUAUUAAUCAGUUAAUUAAUUAUUUGUUUAGCAUCUACUUCCUCUCCUAGGCCAGGAUAAGGAUUCCGUCCGUCUUCAUCUGUCUAACCCCAGCCCUAAAUAUGUCUGAAUAGAUGCUCAAUAAAUAUCUAUUGAAUGAAUCAAUAAAACGAUUAGACCUGACACUGAAAUCUACCAUGUGAAAAUCGUAGUAUUCUGCAGAUUGGUGAAAUGUCUCAGUUGGGGAUGUAGAGACCAUUAAAUCAAUCUCCUCUUACGGAUGGAGAAAACACGGCCCAGAGCGAGG